AAGUCGUAACAAGGUUUCCGUAGGUGAACCUGCGGAAGGAUCAUUAACACGUAUCCACGUUAUCAACCAAUGUGAACUGUUUUCACCUCUCCCUAUGCUGAGAAUGAAUUGGCAACUUGAUAUAGGCCAUAAAUGGGGCUUGCCGCAAGGCGCCAACCUAUAGAAGCUAUUUAUUAGAGCGAAAGUUUUAAUAGACAAUUGUAUUUCAGUAUUAGGCAUCGUUCCACUAAUUUGGUCUCCAUUUAUGACCGUGUUAGCGGAACACUUUAUUAACCUAUUUCACCCCUUUUUGCUAGUUGACUUUUAUAUGUGCGAUUUUGCGUAAGCAAGAUUCACACGUUUAAUUAUUUGAACGUUAAAAAUACAACUCUUAGCAAUGGAUAUCUUGGUUCUC
rnacentral:misc_RNA from 1 species